AUGCAUAAUCAUUUGAACAUAAUAAUAUGGAUUCACCAAAUCAGGAGUGUCUACCAUACACGGACAGAGAUAGAAAGGGAGAAGGAACUGCUAUACAAUAAUAAUUUCUAUGAGUUACUUAUGCGCACUGAAGAAUAUUACAUAGAAACAGAUGUACAUUUUUAAGAUCAAAAGUAAAACAUUUAUUCGUCAUUAUCUUAUGUUGUGAGAAAAACGAGUCUCCACAAGAAGGUCCUGGAACUCAAACGAUUUUCGAAGAGAGGUUUUCGUAGUGUUUGUAUUUAAAACCGCAAGACGAAGAUCUCCAUUAAAAUAAAUGAAUAAUAUUAAAAAUAAGAAAGAACAUAAAAGUUAAAUCUGCAGCGUGUAUAUCGAUGCUUACGAGUACUUGAGAAAAUAUAGCUAUCGUCAAUGAAAUUGUUAAAUAUUUUGAAACGAUUGAGUUCAAUAAAAUAAAUUUGCGUUCAUCAAGUGCUAUUAAUAGGCAUUACAUCUGAUACAGAUAGUUUAACCGGUCAUUUUCAAUUGAAAGUUCAUUUUGAUAAGUAAUUGAGAUGCUUCUACAAAAGAUCAUACCGUUUAUAGAUGAAACCCAAAACAGUAGUGCUAUUACCGAGAAAAAGCUUCCUACCGAAGUCGCAAGAAUUCUUGUCAAUUAUCCCGUGAAAGCUAGGAGUUUAUCGUUGUAAUAACAGGAAAGAUCCUUGGUUUACUUUGACCCCACGAAUUUUCUUUUUCCUCGAGGUUCAAAGGUAAGCGUUUCGAGCAAAACAUAGUUAUUUUUUUCGUCAAAUGUUGAGCACAGUAAGGAUUUAGCUUUGUGAUUUGUCUGUACUUAACCCUCUGAGAGAUAAAAAUUAAAAACAUUUUAUUUACAUUUCCUUAAAAAAUAAAACUAUGAAAAUAAGAUUCAACGCAAGAAAUUUUACAGAGGCAAUAAAAAUUAAAGUCAGCAGGGGCAUUUUUUCCCGUGCUUUUUCCUUAGUUUUUUCAGUUCUGUCACUGACAAACACUCGUGACAUGAAGUUAGUAUAAUUUACAGGUCAGAGGAAAUUCUUGAAAGUUGGCAACACUGUUUUUCCUCUAUUUGAAUGUAUGUAAAACAAUCGAUUCUUGAUGAGGCAGCUUGCCUU
rnacentral:lncRNA from 1 species